AUUGAACGCUGGCGGCAGGCUUAACACAUGCAAGUCGAGCGAGAGGCGGACGGGUGGGUAAUGUCGGGGAAACUGCCUGAUGGAGGGGGAUAACGGCUGGAAACGGUAGCUAAUACCGCAUAACAUGCGAUGGGCCCAGAGGGGAUUAGCUAGUAGGUGGGGUAAUGGCUCACCUAGGCGACGGGGCCUAGCUGGUCUGAGAGGAUGACCAGCCACACUGGGACUGAGACACGGCCCAGACUCCUACGGGAGGCAGCAGUGGGGAAUAUUGCACAAUGGGCGAAAGCCUGAUGCAGCCAGGCCGCGUGUGUGAAGAAGGCUUUCGGGUUGUAAAGCACUUUCAGCAGGGAGGCGUUACGUGCAGAAGAAGCCACGGCUAACUCCGUGCCAGCAGCCGCGGGAAUAC
rnacentral:rRNA from 1 species